GUAAGUUGGAAGGUAGGACGUAUAGAGGGAUUUAAUUUAUGUGUCCGUAUGUAACGAUAAACUAUUGUUAACCAAUUCUGAGUAUUAAUGUAGUUCGUACUUUUUCCCUCGUCACCGAAGUAACCCGGAAAUCAACAAUAACUCCACGGAAAAUUGUCAGUUUUUGCCCAUAUAUUAGGAAUCCUUCGAGGAAAAUUAAAAAAAAAAAAAAC